GACUCCAUCGUCUAGCUUGGUUAGGACACCAGGUUUUCGCCCUGGCAACAUGGGUUCAAAUCCCGUUGGAGUCACCA
rnacentral:tRNA from 1 species